UGGGGAAUAUUGCACAAUGGGCGCAAGCCUGAUGCAGCCAUGCCGCGUGUAUGAAGAAGGCCUUCGGGUUGUAAAGUACUUUCAGCGGGGAGGAAGGGAGUAAAGUUAAUACCUUUGCUCAUUGACGUUACCCGCAGAAGAAGCACCGGCUAACUCCGUGCCAGCAGCCGCGGUAAUACGGAGGGUGCAAGCGUUAAUCGGAAUUACUGGGCGUAAAGGGCGCGUAGGCGGCUCGGUAAGUCUGGAGUGAAAGUCCUGCUUUUAAGGUGGGAAUUGCUUUGGAUACUGUCGGGCUUGAGUGCAGGAGAGGUUAGUGGAAUUCCCAGUGUAGCGGUGAAAUGCGUAGAUAUUAGGAGGAACACCGGUGGCGAAGGCGGCCGUCUGGUCUGGAUUCUGACACUGAAGCACGAAAGCGUGGGGAGCAAAUAGGAUUAGAUACCCUAGUAGUCCACGCCGUAAACGAUGAGAACUAGGUGUUGGGGGAAUAACUCAGUGCCGCAGUUAACGCAAUAAGUUCUCCGCCUGGGGAGUAUGCACGCAAGUGUGAAACUCAAAGGAAUUGACGGGGGCCCGCACAAGCAGCGGAGCAUGUGGUUUAAUUCGACGCAACGCGAAGAACCUUACCAGGUCUUGACAUCCACUUAAACUUACAGAGAUGUAAGGUGUGCUUGCACAAAGUGAGACAGGUGGUGCAUGGUUGUCGUCAGCUCGUGUCGUGAGAUGUUGGGUUAAGUCCCGCAACGAGCGCAACCCUUAUCUUCAGUUACUAACGCGUGAAGGUGAGGACUCUGAAGAGACUGCCGGGGACAACUCGGAGGAAGGUGGGGACGACGUCAAAUCAUCAUGCCCCUUAUGACCUGGGCUACACACGUGCUACAAUGGCCACGACAGAGAGAAGCGAAAUCGUAAGGUAGAGCGGAACUCAAAAAAGUGGUCCCAGUUCGGAUUGUGGGCUGCAACCCGCCCACAUGAAGUCGGAGUUGCUAGUAAUCGCGGAUCAGCAUGCCGCGGUGAAUACGUUCCC
rnacentral:rRNA from 1 species